ensembl:rRNA 5S_rRNA 5S ribosomal RNA
GUCUACUGCCAUACCAUCCUGAACGCUUCCAAUCUCAUCUGAUCUUGGAAGAUAAGCAGGGUCGGACCUGGUUAGUACUUGGAUGGGAGACCACCUGUGAAUACUGGGUGUUGUAGGCU